UACGGAGGGUGCAAGCAUUAAUCGGAUUUAUUGGGCGUAAAGGGCGCGUAGGCGGGGAGGAAAGUCAGAUGUGAAAUACCGGAGCUCAACUUCGGAACUGCAUUUGAAACUUCCUUUCUUGAGGGUAGACGGAGAAAAUGGAAUUCCACAAGUAGCGGUGAAAUGCGUAGAUAUGUGGAAGAACACCGGUGGCGAAGGCGAUUUUCUAGUUUAUACCUGACGCUGAGGCGCGAAAGCUAGGGGAGCAAACAGG
rnacentral:rRNA from 1 species